rnacentral:rRNA from 1 species
GGGCCCGCACAAGCGGUGGAGCAUGUGGUUUAAUUCGAUGCAACGCGAAGAACCUUACCAGGGUUUGACAUAGUACGAAGUUUUUUGAAAAAAAAGCCACCUUCGGGAACGUACAUACAGGUGGUGCAUGGCUGUCGUCAGCUCGUGUCGUGAGAUGUUGGGUUAAGUCCCGCAACGAGCGUAACCCUUGUUUUUAGUUGCCUUUCGAGGAUAUUUAGAAAGACUGCCGAUUAUAAAUCGGAGGAAGGUAAGGACGACGUCAAGUCAUCAUGCCCCUUACACUCUGGGCUACACACGUGCUACAUUGGGUAGAACAAUAAGUUGCUAAGUUCGGAUUGUAGGC